rnacentral:rRNA from 1 species
CUGGUGUAGCGGUGGAAUGCGCAGAUAUCAGGAGGAACACCGAUGGCGAAGGCAGAUCUCUGGGCCGUAACUGACGCUGAGGAGCGAAAGGGUGGGGAGCAAACAGGCUUAGAUACCCUGGUAGUCCACCCCGUAAACGUUGGGAACUAGUUGUGGGGUCCAUUCCACGGAUUCCGUGACGCAGCUAACGCAUUAAGUUCCCCGCCUGGGGAGUACGGCCGCAAGGCUAAAACUCAAAGGAAUUGACGGGGACCCGCACAAGCGGCGGAGCAUGCGGAUUAAUUCGAUGCAACGCGAAGAACCUUACCAAGGCUUGACAUAUACGAGAACGGGCCAGAAAUGGUCAACUCUUUGGACACUCGUAAACAGGUGGUGCAUGGUUGUCGUCAGCUCGUGUCGUGAGAUGUUGGGUUAAGUCCCGCAACGAGCGCAACCCUCGUUCUAUGUUGCCAGCACGUAAUGGUGGGAACUCAUGGGAUACUGCCGGGGUCAACUCGGAGGAAGGUGGGGAUGACGUCAAAUCAUCAUGCCCCUUAUGUCUUGGGCUUCACGCAUGCUACAAUGGCCGGUACAAAGGGCUGCAAUACCGCGAGGUGGAGCGAAUCCCAAAAAGCCGGUCCCAGUUCGGAUUGAGGUCUGCAACUCGACCUCAUGAAGUCGGAGUCGCUAGUAAUCGCAGAUCAGCAACGCUGCGGUGAAUACGUUCCCGGGUCUUGUACACACCGCCCGUCAAGUCAUGAAAGUCGGUAACACCUGAAGCCGGUGGCCUAACCUUUUUGGAGGGAGCCGUCGAAGGUGGG